CGCAGGCCCGGGGCAUCCAGCCGCGCGCCCAGCCCCGCCGCCGCCUCGGCGCCUCCUAGCAGCCCCUCAGCAUCCCCGCCCUGCCCGCAGCGCCCGCCAGGCCCCGGCCGCCGCGCUCGCUCGGGACGGACUCGGGAAGAAACUGGAAAAAUCAAGAAGCAAGCAAGCAAUAAAAAAGCAAAAUUACAGCAACAAAAAAUAAUAAUGAUAUAGGAUUUCAAAAAAAGAUGAUUCUACCCUCGACUUUGAAAAUGUAGAAGUAAGACUGUCCCCUAAGAAGAUCCUAAGAAAUAAAGACACAAUAAUCCAGAACACGGAUCUACAAAAUGAAGUUAAUGUAGUUCACACCAGCAUCUUCCUCAGCAGCAUGGAACGUAAGUAAUGUGAAAAGCAUCCUUAAUAACUCACCUCCCUCUCUCCCAGCACCACACCCUAGCUUGCCUCACAGACACCAAACUGCUGUGAGACUAGUGAGAUUCUGGUCAGUAACUGGCUGAAGCUAUCAACUCCUCAAAGCAAGGACACUGUCACUUGGCAGUGGGUCCCGUGACCCACAGAAGCAUUAAGGAGAGAUAAAAGAGGCAGUGCCCACAUAAACAUUGUCUGCUAGGGGUUAGCCUGGCUUGGGAACCUGGAAAUCAGAAACCAGGCACAAGGCUCCUGCAUGGGAAAAUGUUGACAAACAUUUAUGACAUUAACCACUAUGGUUACCCAACUGGCUUCGUGGACUUAACUCUGGUCAAAUGAUCAGCAUGCAAAUUUUUGAUCAUAAAUUAGCUUCCCAGCAUGAUUUACCUACAGGAGAAAAAAAAAAAGGCGCUAAUCACCGAAAGGCAUGUAUUUGGUUCACUGGGUAAUAUCUUUUUCAUUCUGUACAGGUAACAGUUUUGGUUUAAGACAGUUUCUCAUGACUUUUGAUUAACAAGUAUCCAUUUUCUUAAAGCUUAAUCUAUGCUGGGCACACUAACAAGUGAACUUCCCAUUCUGCAAGAGUGAUUUUCUGAGUGAAAUGCUUUCUGGGUGGGGUUCCUGGAGCACCAAUCCUCUGGCCUCCUCAGGAACCUCCCUCUGCUUUAAGAUGUACCUUCUGAGAACUGCCAUGAACUGUUACAUAAACUGGGUACUUCCGGUCGUAAAAGAAGGAGGAAUCACUGGAAAUUUAUUUAUAUGCAAUUUUACCCCCUCCUUGUCAGUAGCCCCUUAAUACAAAUCUUUUGAAGCCAUGAUGAACUACACACCUCUGAUUAUGGCAGUCUUUUCCUUCUCUAAGAAUUACAGGUGACAUAUUUUGCUCUUUUUGAAAUAUAGGGCCGGAGGUUUAGCUUAGCAGCACAAGCACCUGCCUGGCCAAGCAUGAGGUCAUGAGUUUGAUCCUCGGUACCCCACCGCCAAAUACAUUAAAUUUUUUUCUCACAAUUUCUCAAAGACCCUGGAGUGCCACAAACCAAAACAUCAGAUCACAAUAUUAUAGGAGGUCAAAAUAUUCUUUGUUAAUCUGAGUAAAUGCCAAGUGAGUGUUUCCUGUAUUAA